GUUUCAAAAUGCGUGAAAUAAAUAUUAUAUCUGCAGUUGAAACUUGUGAAUCGGUUAAGGCAACUCCAUUUCACCAGGAGUAUUACAUAUCACUGAUAGAAAAUAACUGAGCAACGUAUUUUUCGAUUGCACUCAAAUUCGUGACUAGCUUCAGAAGAGUUCGAGCAAAGCGAUGAACACUUAUUGGCACACCGUACGUACCAACGACAAAGUAUCUUCUGAUGUGUCUGAGCAGCAUCGAGAGUGUGACCCCAGCAAUCGCCUGCAGCAGGGCGAGACUCAAAAAACUGAGAGUGACCGUCCCAGCUCCUCCCAGGGCGCAAACGACGUACGCCUGUUGGUGAAACAAACGGAUUUAACGAAUUCCCAGUUGUGGUAGCAUCGGUGGUACUCAAGGUCCUGGGUUAUAAAGAACACAAGCAUACUCACUUCCAUAAAGUCAGCGAACAUGAA